rnacentral:rRNA from 1 species
GAUAAGAUCCGUAGUCGAAAGGGAAACAGCCCAGACCACCAGCUAAGGUCCCAAAGUAACUGUUAAGUGGAAAAGGAUGUGGAGUUGCAUAGACAACUAGGAUGUUGGCUUAGAAGCAGCCACCAUUCAAAGAGUGCGUAAUAGCUCACUAGUCGAGUGACUCCGCGCCGAAAAUGUACCGGGGCUAAACAGUACACCGAAGCUGUGGAUUCAAUUUUUAAAUUGAGUGGUAGGAGAGCGUUCUAAGGGCGGUGAAGGCAUACCGAAAGGAGUGUUGGAGCGCUUAGAAGUGAGAAUGCCGGUAUGAGUAGCGAAAGACGGGUGAGAAUCCCGUCCACCGAUAGACUAAGGUUUCCUGGGGAAGGCUCGUCCGCCCAGGGUUAGUCGGGACCUAAGCCGAGGCCGACAGGCGUAGGCGAUGGACAACAGGUAGAGAUUCCUGUACUUGUUAACAAUGUUUGAGCGAUGGAGGGACGCAGGAGGCGACGCCACGCAGACGGAUGGAAGUGUCUGUAGAAGCACGAAGUGGUGGUAUGAGUCAAAUGCUUAUACCUAUAACCGUGACGUGUGACCUGGAGCGAAAUUUAAGUAGCGAAGGUGGCUAAUCAAACUGCCGAGAAAAGCUUCUAGUGAGUUGUUAACAACCCGUACCGCAAACCGACACAGGUAGUCAAGUGGAGAACACUAAGGUGAGCGAGAGAACUCUCGUUAAGGAACUCGGCAAAAUGACCCCGUAACUUCGGGAGAAGGGGUGCUGACAGAGAUGUCAGCCGCAGUGAAUAGGCCCAGGCGACUGUUUAUCAAAAACACAGGUCUCUGCAAAAUCGAAAGAUGACGUAUAGGGGCUGACGCCUGCCCGGUGCUGGAAGGUUAAGAGGAGAGGUUAGCGCAAGCGAAGCUUUGAAUUGAAGCCCCAGUAAACGGCGGCCGUAACUAUAACGGUCCUAAGGUAGCGAAAUUCCUUGUCGGGUAAGUUCCGACCCGCACGAAAGGCGUAACGAUUUGGGCACUGUCUCAACGAUGGACUCGGUGAAAUCAUAGUACCUGUGAAGAUGCAGGUUACCCGCGACAGGACGGAAAGACCCCAUGGAGCUUUACUGUAGCUUGAUAUUGAGUGUUUGUAUGGCAUGUACAGGAUAGGUAGGAGCUGAAGAAGUGUGGACGCCAGUCUACAUGGAGGCGCUGGUGGGAUACUACCCUUGUGAUGCGGACCCUCUAACCCACGUGUAACAGCACGGGAGACAGUGUCAGGUGGGCAGUUUGACUGGGGCGGUCGCCUCCUAAAGAGUAACGGAGGCGCCCAAAGGUUCCCUCAGAAUGGUUGGAAAUCAUUCGUAGAGUGUAAAGGCAGAAGGGAGCUUGACUGCGAGACCUACAAGUCGAGCAGGGACGAAAGUCGGGCUUAGUGAUCCGGUGGUACCGUAUGGAAGGGCCAUCGCUCAACGGAUAAAAGCUACCCUGGGGAUAACAGGCUUAUCUCCCCCAAGAGUUCACAUCGACGGGGAGGUUUGGCACCUCGAUGUCGGCUCAUCGCAUCCUGGGGCUGUAGUCGGUCCCAAGGGUUGGGCUGUUCGCCCAUUAAAGCGG